AACCAACUGGGAUUACCUUAGUAACGGCGAGUGAAGCGGUAAAAGCUCAAAUUUGAAAUCUGGUACUUUCAGUGCCCGAGUUGUAAUUUGUAGAAUUUGUCUUUGAUUAGGUCCUUGUCUAUGUUCCUUGGAACAGGACGUCAUAGAGGGUGAGAAUCCCGUUUGGCGAGGAUACCUUUUCUCUGUAAGACUUUUUCGAAGAGUCGAGUUGUUUGGGAAUGCAGCUCAAAGUGGGUGGUAAAUUCCAUCUAAAGCUAAAUAUUGGCGAGAGACCGAUAGCGAACAAGUACAGUGAUGGAAAGAUGAAAAGAACUUUGAAAAGAGAGUGAAAAAGUACGUGAAAUUGUUGAAAGGGAAGGGCAUUUGAUCAGACAUGGUGUUUUUGCAUGCACUCGCCUCUCGUGGGCUUGGGCCUCUCAAAAAAUUUCACUGGGCCAACAUCAAUUCUGGCAGCAGGAUAAAAUCAUUAAAGAAUGUAAGCUACUUCGGUAGUGUUAUAGCUUUUUGGAAAUACUGUUAGCCGGGAUUG
rnacentral:rRNA from 1 species